GGGGAUAUAGCUCAGUUGGUAGAGUGCUUGCCUAGCAUGUAUAAAGCUCUGGAUUUAAUUCCCAGCACCACCA
rnacentral:tRNA from 1 species